rnacentral:lncRNA from 10 species
AGUCCAGGUAUAUCUUUGUCAGCAGCAUGAAAAUGGACUAAUACAGUCACAAACACAUAGAACUUAGCAAUUGAUGAAACUUACACAUACAGGACCUCUGACCAAUGAAGGUUGAAAACAAUGGGUAUGCAUGAUAAAGAAAAGAAGCUUUAAUAACCAGAAUAGAUUCACUGAGAAUAAUUCAAAAUAUCACUCGUUUGCCUGAGGAAAAUUCACAUCUUAAUUACUUUGAGGAAAUCUCCAAGUGCACUGACAUUAUCAAUAGGUUCUUUUACCAUGUGAUGCCUUCUGCCAUGCGAGAAAGCCCUCACCAGAUGCAAUCCCUCAGUCUUGAAUUUUCCAGCCUCCAGAAUCAUGAGACAAAUUUAUAUUAUUUAUAAAUUACCCAGUCUGUGGUAUUCUGUUAUGGCAACAGAAAACAGACUAAGACACCAAUCUAUUGAAGCCUAAUAAAGUAAAAACUUCUGUAUUGAAAAUAAAAUAUCUUGGGGGGAGUUUGUUUAAUAAAAAUGGAGCUAUAAUUAUUGUUGUAGCUAUAAAUUAUUACCAAGAGUCCUCUAGCUAAUUUGAAGGCUUUAAUGUGUCUAUAGUUAGAAAUGAGAAAUUUACUGCAAUAAACUACGUAGUAUCUGUUGCUCUUUGAAAACAAAGAAAUCUGUUGUAUGGCAGCCGUAUAGCCCUGGAGCAUCCUGAUGAACUGUAAACAAUCCAGGCUCUACUGUGUGUGGGGUAAAAAAAAAAAAAAAAAAAUUAGCUGAUGUUUAAUAUAGAAUUGUAUUCUAGCCGUGUAACCAAAGGCUUUAAAAGCACCUUUUCCUUCUCUUUCAGAGGCUGGUAUUAAUAAAAUUACUUGGUAAUUUGGCAGUUGUAAAUUGUGACCCUCUGUCAGUGGCUAGGUCACAGAUGUCUCCCUCCUUUCCUUUUUAAACACUGAUGGGUUCAACACAGUAAACAUUGACUUCAUAAAUAAGCAGAGUCAGAGUACUAGGUUCUAGUCACUUCCAUAAUGGAAAGUAAGCAGAGCAAUUUAAUAGUGGGUGUGGGAAGUGGAAGGAGGGGGAACCAGGAUCAUAGUCAAGCAAAUAAUGGAAUGAAUACCCUAUUUAAGUAUGCCAGACAUACUCGUGUAAAAGAAGCUUGUGGGUCACCAGAUACUACAGGAAUGGCAUGCUGGGUUGAUCCCAUAAUUAAGGGAGAAGACAUAAGUCAGGAGCAUCUCAGACCAAAUGUCUUGCGCUACUAUACACUAUAAUUAUUACUCUUAUGAGUCUUACUUCAAUAGGCACUUUGCACUGAUGAUAUGAAAUGCCUUCUCCUUUCAGUAUCAAAAGUUAAAGAGUAAAGUGUAUGGAAGAUUGGAGAGUCAGCUAAUA